UGGCGAACGGGUGAGUAGCACGUGGGUGAUCUGCCCUGCACUUCGGGAUAAGCUUGGGAAACUGGGUCUAAUACCGGAUAGGACCAUCGUUUAGUGUCGGUGGUGGAAAGUUUUUUCGGUGUGGGAUGAGCUCGCGGCCUAUCAGCUUGUUGGUGGGGUAAUGGCCUACCAAGGCGUCGACGGGUAGCCGGCCUGAGAGGGUGUACGGCCACAUUGGGACUGAGAUACGGCCCAG
rnacentral:rRNA from 1 species